UACAGAGGAUGCAAGCGUUAUCCGGAAUGAUUGGGCGUAAAGCGUCUGUAGGUGGCUUUUUAAGUCCGCCGUCAAAUCCCAGGGCUCAACUCUGGACAGGCGGUGGAAACUACCAAGCUGGAGUACGGUAGGGGCAGAGGGAAUUUCCGGUGGAGCGGUGAAAUGCGUAGAGAUCGGAAAGAACACCAACGGCGAAAGCAGCUCGCUGGGACGGUACUGACGCUGAGACGCGAAAGCGUGGGGAGCAAACAGG
rnacentral:rRNA from 1 species